GCUUAAGUGUGAUCUCUAGACUAUAUACAAAGUUCCCGGUUAGUUAAAUUAGUCUAGCUGCUGCUUAAGUGUCGGGUGGGUUAUUUAGCCUUACCUCCCAGGAUGUCCCAGAGCAGCCCUCUAAAAUCCAGGGAACCCGGGUGCUGCAUAGUAGAUUAAGCUGUCGCUGUGCAAAAGAAAUUGGCUUGCUGAUUUUGAU
rnacentral:other from 1 species